GGGGAAGCCCCUGGCCAGGCAGGAAACCAGGCUGCACGCAGCAGCCCACACAGUUUGUGUCCAGCACAGGGCUUGGGAUGAAGGUGCUUGCUCAGCCAUCUCUAGCUGCCCCUGGGGCACCCUCCUUCUGGGGGUCUUCCUCCCUGACACCUCCCUCAGCUGCUGUGCCUACCGUGCCUGUGUUCCCUCUGUUACCUUCUCCUUCCGGUCUCGGAGAAGGAGCGCGCCUUGGCUCGCUGGCCUUGGCUGCGGCUCCUCGGGAGAGCUGGGGCGCCCACGCGAGGAUCCCUCACCUGGUGAGUGGUUGGCCAUCCUUGCCGCAAAGGAUGUGCAGAAGGAAGACUGCAUCCCCCUCUAGGGUGGGCUCUGUCCUCUUGGACAGGCCGAGAGCCGGAUCCCGGUCCUGCUGCUGGAGGCGGCCACUUCGUCUGGUGCCCAAGCGUCCCCAGCGAAAUUUGUCAGAAGGAAAAUCUCGAGGCACAUACUCCUGGGGGGAAGUCAGGGCUCCUCUCGAAAAGGUCCAGUCCUUGAGGGCGGGCUGGGUGGUAGGGACUUCAGUUCAGAGGAGCAGGAGGAAUCGGAUGGAACCCCUCUUGGAUUCGGGUGUAUGUCAGUCACUGGGGGGUGAACCCCGGAUUUUCUGUAUUGGGAGCGCCUCUAGAGUUGCGUUAAUAGUGGGAGAUAUGGCGGCGAAGCCUUCUGCAUGCCCCAUGAAUUAGGGGGGAGCACCCGAAUGGAGGGGUCUCCCGGGCGGAUUCGCCUGGCCAGUUGUUGGCCAGGUUUUUGGUGGAUUGUGGGCGGGAGGAGUGGAGGUUCCUCUCGGCGAGGGAUUCCAAAUCCAAAUACACAGGUUUAGUGCAGGGUGGACUCCAGGCAAAAUGUAGAGUACAAUUUCUAUCCGAUAUCAUCUGGUUCUGCCCUGAGCAGCCACUUUCACAGUGGAGAGAGAUGGCGCCCAAGUGCAAACCUGCCAGGAGCCCCCUAGGAUCAGUCCCUGCUCAAGGGGGGCGAGGGAUC
rnacentral:lncRNA from 1 species